rnacentral:rRNA from 1 species
GACGAACGCUGGCGGCGUGCCUAAUACAUGCAAGUCGAGCGAAGCGGCGGAUGGGUGAGUAACGCGUGGGUAACCUGCCCUUAAGUCUGGGAUACAAUUUGGAAACAGAUGCUAAUACCGGAUACUAAAGGAUGGACCUGCGAUGCAUUAGCUAGUUGGAAAGGUAACGGCUUAACAAGGCGAAGCUGCAUAGCCGAGUUUGGUGACUGAUCGGCCACAUUGGGAUGGUGACACGGCCCAAACUCCUACGGGAGGCAGCAUGAGGGAAUCUUCGACAAUGGACGAAAGUCUGAUGGAGCAACGCCGCGUGAGUGAAGAAGGUUUUCGGAUCGUAAAUCUUUGUUGUUGGUGAAGCGGUAAUCAACCAGAAAGUCACGGCUAACUACGUGCCAGCAGCCGCGGUAAUAC